rnacentral:rRNA from 1 species
GAGAGUUAAAUAGUACGUGAAAUUGUUGAAAGGGAAACGAUUGAAGUCAGUCAUGCCAGUGAAAAUUCAGUUUGACGGGUUUUGGGUUCAGGAGUAGAGGCAGGGUCAAACCGUUUCUCUUUUGGACUUGGGAUUUGUCAGAUGCACUUUUUCUUUGGCAGGUCAGCGUCGAUUUCGGAGGUUGUAAAAUACUUGGGGAAAAGUAGCUCUGCUUCGGGAGAGUGUUAUAGACCUUGGGUGAUGCGGCCUGCGGGAUCGAGGAUUGCAGCAAAUGCUUUUGGCUUGUCGCCUGAUCUCUGGACGUCAUCUCGCUUGUAUCAACAUUCUUGGUACCGGUGAGUAAUGGUGCUCAUAGGUUAGAGCGAUCAAAAAUUUUGCUAAGGAUGCUGACGUAAUGGCUUUAAACGA